rnacentral:tRNA from 1 species
GCCGAAGUGGUGGAAUUGGUAGACACGCAGCGUUCAGAGCGCUGUGGGAGCAAUCUCGUGAGGGUUCGAGUCCCUCCUUCGGCACCA